rnacentral:misc_RNA from 1 species
UCUCCGUUGGUGAACCAGCGGAGGGAUCAUUACUGGAAUCUCAGGCUCCCACAACCCCUGUGAACCUACCGAAACGUUGCCUCGGCGGGCGCCCCGCGCCGCGCCGGGCGCUCAGCCCGCCGGCCGCCCCCUACUCCUGUCUCUGCAGCGCUGCCUCUCAGAGUCCCACAAAACAAGUAAAAACUUUCAACAACGGAUCUCUUGGCUCUA